UACGGAGGGAGCUAGCGUUGUUCGGAAUUACUGGGCGUAAAGCGCACGUAGGCGGCUUUGUAAGUUAGAGGUGAAAGCCCGGGGCUCAACCCCGGAAUUGCCUUUAAGACUGCAUCGCUUGAAUCCAGGAGAGGUGAGUGGAAUUCCGAGUGUAGAGGUGAAAUUCGUAGAUAUUCGGAAGAACACCAGUGGCGAAGGCGGCUCACUGGACUGGUAUUGGCGCUGAGGUGCGAAAGCGUGGGGAGCAAACAGG
rnacentral:rRNA from 1 species